AUACGGAGGGUGCAAGCGUUAUCCGGAUUCACUGGGUUUAAAGGGUGCGUAGGUGGGUUGGUAAGUCAGUGGUGAAAUCUUCGAGCUUAACUCGGAAACUGCCAUUGAUACUAUCAGUCUUGAAUAUUGUGGAGGUUAGCGGAAUAUGUCAUGUAGCGGUGAAAUGCUUAGAUAUGACAUAGAACACCAAUUGCGAAGGCAGCUGGCUACACAUACAUUGACACUGAGGCACGAAAGCGUGGGGAUC
rnacentral:rRNA from 1 species